rnacentral:rRNA from 1 species
CGAAGGGGGAUAGCGUUGUUCGGAAUCACUGGGCUUAAAGCGUGUGUAGGCGGCGGCCUAAGUACCUUGUGAAAUCCCACGGCUCACCCGUGGAACUGCUCGGUAUACUGGGUCGCUUGAGCCACUUAGGGGCUACCGGAACAAAUGGUGGAGCGGUGAAAUGCGUAGAUAUCAUUUGGAACGCCAAUGGUGAAAACAGGUAGCUGGGAGUGUGCUGACGCUGAGACACGAAAGCCAGGGGAGCAAACGGG